rnacentral:tRNA from 1 species
GUUUAAUUAGUUUAAUUAAAAUUAUAAAUUGUGGAUUUAUAGAUGAAUUCUCAUUAAACA